rnacentral:lncRNA from 1 species
UUUUUUUUUUUUUAUGACAAGGAAAACCCACAGCCGCUACCCUUUGGGUGUGCACAGGGUAAAACCCCUGCUCCUAUGCAAUAGCUCGCAAACCACAUAUGAGAGGUAACCCGCAUUAGGCAAGCUUGCGACGAGCUUGACCCAGAAGGCAAACCCCUUGCUUUCGCUGGCAAGGGUUUUCGAACUUGAGGCCUCCAACAUGGAAGUCCCAAGCUCAAACCACUGGGCCAUCCCAGAGGGUUUAUCCGUAUAAUUAAACAUUACACAAAUAGUCUAUAGGCACGAGGUGCUACACAAACUAUUUAACAGAGGACAGGGGUAGUGAAUUUUGCAUAACUAAAAGGACUAUUUGUUUAUACUUAUCCGUAUAAUUAAACAUUACACAAAUAGUCUAUAGGCACGAGGUGCUACACAAACUAUUUAACAGAGGACAGGGGUAGUGAAUUUUGCAUAACUAAAGGACAUUUGUUUAUACUUAUCCGUAUAAUUAAAGGACAUUUUUAUACUUAUCCGUUAAUAUGCACAGUUAAAAGAAAGAGAUAAAGCGAAGUUUAACUGCUGAUCGCAUUUUACAUUGGCUACGCAGGUUAUAAUGGUGCAAAUAAGACCUCUAUCAAAGGGGACAAGAGAUAUCAGAAGCAAAUGAGUAACUGAAGGUACUAGAAGAAUAUAGAUAUUCAACAAAUAACUGCUUCUUGAGAGCAGUAGGAAAUAAGAAAGCAUGUUGUGCUUGAACUUACAUUAUUCAUAUGCUAGUAAACAAUGAACAUUAGAUCCUUAUUAGAUACCAGGUUCAGAAGUGUGCUCAAGGCACGCGACACUCGGCAAUGUUCCAGAUCUCUUUUGCAUAUUGAGAAAUUGUACGGUCACUACUAAAUUUGCCACUCCCACUAGUGCUCAGUAUAGACAUCUUUAUCCAUCUUUUCCUGUCCCUGUCAACGUAAAGGACCCAAAACCUCAGUAUUCAAGUUUCCUACCAAAACUUCUGAUGCACAACAUAAAUACACCCUCUAAUAAGUAAAACAAGUCAUAGCAGCUUAGGUGGGCGUCAAACUGUGUAUUAUAAUAACUGAAAUCAUUCAUCAUCGGUAUGGAAUGUCAAUCUGUGUAUAAUACUCUGAACAAACAUUAUGGAUUGUCAAGAGGCUACCAAUAAUGUCAGAACAAACUCAAAAUAUCACCAGAAAUGAGCCUUGAGAUACAGUGCCAAAGGGGAACUUCAAACCUGUUCGAAGAAAUUAUUGUUUUAUUUUCAAUUUUCCCAGAUUUUUCAAUAGCUUCUUUGCUCUGACCGGAUUUAAA